rnacentral:rRNA from 1 species
AGCGAACGCUGGCGGCAGGCCUAACACAUGCAAGUCGAGCGGAUGAGAAAAGCUUGCUUUUCGAUUCAGCGGCGGACGGGUGAGUAAUGCCUAGGAAUCUGCCUGUUAGUGGGGGAUAACUCGGGGAAACUCGGGCUAAUACCGCAUACGUCCUACGGGAGAAAGUGGGGGAUCUUCGGACCUCACGCUAACAGAUGAGCCUAGGUCGGAUUAGCUAGUAGGUGAGGUAAUGGCUCACCUAGGCGACGAUCCGUAACUGGUCUGAGAGGUUGGAUGAGUUACACUGGAACUGAGAAACGGUCCAGACUCCUGCCGGAGGCAGCAGUGGGGAAUAUUGGACAAGGGGCGAAAGCCUUAUCCAGCCAUUCCGCGUGUGUGAAGAAGGUCUUCGGAUUGUAAAGCACUUUAAGUUGGGAGGAAGGGUAUUCACCUAAUACGUGGGUACUCUGACGUUACCAACAGAAUAAGCACCGGCUAACUCUGUGCCAGCAGCCGCAGUAA